AUCGCUUUAAGAAAGUCACGUGACCGAUACAGCUGCAGUAUCGCCUGUCAUGCAUCGCGCCGGGUGCACCAAACUGUGUUUAAAAGGAAGCGCAUCUGUCAACGGGCUGCAUCUCUGCCAAAACAAUGAGUCAUCAUUUCAAACGGACAUCUUAUCUGCAAGCCAUAAUGGAACCAGAAAGAAAAAGAAAAGUUUCUGUCGUGUGGGACCAUUUUGUCGGCAAAUAAGCUUCCAGGAAGCAUGUGUUGGACCAGGCUAUCCUGAAUUUUAUUCUCAAGGACUGCCAACCCCUCAGCGUUGUUGAGAAUGAGGGGUUCAGGGAACUGCUUCAGCUCCUUGAGCCAUCAUGUUUUUGCCAACCAGAAAGACUGUCAAAGAAAUGGUGGCCAGAAAAUACAAGGAGGAACGAGAACGAGCGAAAAUGGUACAGCAAGCUGUGGCAGUAAGUAUAACAGCUGACAUGUGGACAUCUGUGAACAUGGAGGCUUACUUGUCUCUUACCUGUCACUACAUUCAUGAGAAUAUGCAGUUGUGUACAUCUGUGUUGGGAGUGCAACACUUUCCACAAAGUCACACUGCUGACAAUUUGGCCCGAGUCAAAAGGGGCAUGAUGGAUGAGUGGGCCAUAACGAAUAAAGUAAAGUGUCUUGUGACCGACGCAGCAGCAAACAUGAUUGCAUCCACAGGAAGUCUCUAAAUUCGGCAUUCAGUUUGCAUUGCACACAAUCUCAAUUUAUUAGUCAGAAAAUCAUGUGAUCAAAUCCCUGCACUUACAUCAAUCAGACACAAAUCUAGGCAAAUUGUAACAUACUUCAGAUCAAACACCACAGCCAAAGAGAAGCUAGCUCAAGUGCAGCAACAAAUGGGACGGCCAGCCCUGAAACUCAUCAAUGAGGUGCCAACAUGCUGGAACAGCACAUGUGAAAUGCUGAAAAGGCUACAUGAUGAGAAGGAACCAGUGUGGGUAUCUCUUGGGUCUCUUAAUACAGACAUAACUCCACUAACAGCUGAUGAGUUCACCAUCAUUGGAGAAACACUUGUUGUGCUUGCUCCUUUCCGUCAAGCUACAGUGGAGUUGUCUGAAGAGAAGAGAGUUUCAGGGUCAAAGGUCAUCCCGAUGAUGAAAAUGCUGUAUCAUGCACUUGAGCGUAACGCUUCAAACUUACACACACUGGCAGCAACACACCUCCACGAACACCUAAGGCGACGAGUCACAGACACUGCUUCCAGUCUGGAGUCAUUAAGUGUGUUGACCCUAUCAACACUUCUAGACCCCAGAUUCAAAUCACUCGGGUGUCGUAGUUCCACAAAAUGCAGUGAAGCAGUCAGUAGACUGAAAACAGAAUGUGCAGCUGCAAUUGGGCGCUCAUCGACUGAGCCACAGCCUGGACCUUCUUCACAACAGCGGCCUGCAACAACUUCAGGCAUGUUAUUCAGCGUUAUCUGAUUAUUUGUGCAAUUAUUUGUUUGCAAAUCAUGUACUAAAAUGCCAAUUUGUUGUUUUUUAGAUAACUUGUGGCAGCACUUGGACAAUGAAGUUGGCAUGCAGACCAGCAAUGUCACAACCGAUUUCAUUAUUGAGGUUCAGAGAUACCUGGCAGAGGGCAACAUGCCAAGAUCUCAGGAUCUGCAGGAGGAGAUAUUGGGACAACCAAAGGCACACUUACCCAAACCUCUUCCGCCUGUCACAAAUGUUUCUGUGUACACCAGCCUCAUCUGUGCCGUGUGAGCGGGUUUUUUCAAAAGCUGGAGAACUGGCAUCUAAAAAACGAAAUCGCCUGAAUCCCAAAACUUUGGAACAUCUCAUUUUCUUGAAUAAAAAUUUAUUAAAAAAAAAAUCCC